AGAGUUUGAUCAUGGCUCAGAAUCAACGCUGGCGGCGUGCCUAACACAUGCAAGUCGAACGAGAAAGUGGUAGCAAUACCAUGAGUAAAGUGGCGCACGGGUGAGUAACACGUGACUAACCUACCCUGGAGUGGGGGAUAACUGAGGGAAACCUUAGCUAAUACCGCAUAACACCUACGGGUCAAAGGAGCAAUUCGCUUCAGGAGGGGGUCGCGGCAGAUUAGCUAGUUGGCGGGGUAAUGGCCCACCAAGGCAGUGAUCUGUAUCCGGCCUGAGAGGGCGCACGGACACACUGGAACUGAAACACGGUCCAGACUCCUACGGGAGGCAGCAGUGGGGAAUUUUGCGCAAUGGGGGAAACCCUGACGCAGCAACGCCGCGUGGAGGAUGAAGUCCUUCGGGACGUAAACUCCUUUCGAUCGGGACGAUUAUGACGGUACCGAGAGAAGAAGCCCCGGCUAACUUCGUGCCAGCAGCCGCGGUAAUACGAGGGGGGCGAGCGUUGUUCGGAAUCACUGGGCGUAAAGGGCGUGUAGGCGGUCAAGUAAGUGGGAUGUGAAAUCCCUCGGCUCACCCGAGGACCUGCAUCCCAAACUGCUUGGCUUGAGUAUGGGAGAGGAUGAGGGAAUUCCUGGUGUAGCGGUGAAAUGCGUAGAUAUCAGGAGGAACACCGGUGGCGAAGGCGCUCAUCUGGCCCAAUACUGACGCUGAUGCGCGAAAGCUAGGGGAGCAAACGGGAUUAGAUACCCUAGUAGUCC
rnacentral:rRNA from 1 species